GUCACUUCCUGCCGUUCUCAAAAUGGCGGCGCGCAGGGUUCUCCGGCUCGGUGCGUCCCGGGGGAGCCCCCGGGAGGGUCCCUGAGGGGUGGGGGAGGGGCAAAAAGGGGUUUAAAAGGGGGGAGGGGUGGUGGGCGUGGCCUAGAGGCGGUGGGCGUGGUUUAACAGCGAUUUUUGGGGCGCUAAUUGGGGUUUUAAGGCAAAGUGGGCGUGGUUUAAGGAGGUGGGCGUGGCUUGCUAACCGCUGUUCCCGCCCCUUAGCGGAGCGCCAGGCGAGAUCGCUCCGCCCCUUGCCCCGCCCACCGCAGCGGAUCGGCCAAUGGCGAGAGGCCCAGGGUCUCUCCCCGAGUCCCUCCGGGCCCGGACCCCUCAGGGACCUCCCGGAUUGGAGCUUUUCGGACGGGCGCCCCUCCCCCCCCUGGCGGGGACAGGAACGGAGAAUCAGCGAGAGCCGAGAGCUGAUGUGCCGGGCCCUGACCCUGAGCCGCUCCCUGGAGGCCGCCAAACGUCGGAGGAGCUCCCAGUAUAAACCAGUAUGGACCGGUGAAAAGGCCCCGCCCCCACCUGAGGCUCCGCCCACUUCUGACCACGCCCCCUCGCCUCAUAAGGAAAGCUUGUAAUAUGCAAAUUUAUGCAAAUGAGAUGGAAAAUAAAAGCGGUUUUGUCGCUACGAAUGCGGACCGGCGGUUACUGGUUUGUACUGGGGGUUACUGGUUUGUACUGGGAGGGACUGGGGGGCAGAUGUGGCUCCGCCCACAUAGUUAAUAUGCAGAUUUAUGCAAAUGAGAUGCGAAAUUUAGAACCUACUCCAUCGCUACAAAUUGGGACUGGGGGUUACUGGUUUAUACUGGUUUGUACUGGGAGGGGGACACGAAGUAUUAGUCCACGCCCACCUUAUUAAAUAUGCAAAUUUAUGCAAAUGAGAUUCGAAAUUUACAACCUAAUCCCUCCCUAGAAACGGGAAUUGGGCGUUACUGGUUUAUACUGGGAGGAACUGGGAGGGGGCGUGGCCACGCCCCUUUCCCAAGUACACCUAAUUAAAUAUGCAAAUUUAUGCAAAUGAGGUGUGAAUUAAAAGUUUUCAGCCUCAAUGCAAAUCAAUAUUGGGCGUUACUGGUUUGUACUGGGAGGAACUGGGAGGGGGCGUGGCCACACCCUUUCCCACGUUUACCUCAUUAAAUAUGCAAAUUUAUGCUAAUUACAUGAGAAAGUCGACGCCAUUGCUGCAAAUUGGGAGGGACAAAGAGCGCCUCUAACCCGCGCUCAUUGAUAUGCAAAUAUAUGCAAAUCCAGCCAGUUCCGUUGUCUCGUUUAUUAAUUAAAGAGAAUUAAUUAAUUAUCCCCCGCCCCGCCCCUCCCCCCCCGGGGGCGGAGCCUUCGCUCGGCCCCUCCCCCCCCUCCCGACCCGCGGGAACAAAAAUUUUGGGAACCGAAAAAGCCCCAAAAAUCCCCGAAAUUACCCCAAAAAAAGACCGAAAACAAAAAAAACGCAAAAAAAUAACAAAGCCACGCCCCCCUGCCUCAUUUGCAUACCCCACUUCCCUCAGCCAAUCAGCGCGGGGAGGGGGCGGGGCCUGUCCCGCAGCACCAAUAAGAGGGGAGGGGCGUGGCCAGUAAAAGGGGGCGUGGCCUAAAGAGUGAAGGGGCGUGGUUAUGCAAAUUAGGAGUGGUCAGGGGCGUGGUUAUGCAAAUUGGGAGUGGUCUGGCGAGUCUGGGGGUGUGGUUAUGCAAAUU
ensembl:lncRNA